GACGAACGCUGGCGGCGUGCUUAACACAUGCAAGUCGAACGGUAAGGCCCUUUCGGGGGUACACGAGUGGCGAACGGGUGAGUAACACGUGGGUGAUCUGCCCUGCACUUUGGGAUAAGCCUGGGAAACUGGGUCUAAUACCGGAUAGGACUACGCACUGCCUGGUGUGUGGUGGAAAGCGUUUGCGGUGUGGGAUGGGCCCACGGCCUAUCAGCUUGUUGGUGGGGUGAUGGCCUACCAAGGCGACGACGGGUAGCCGGCCUGAGAGGGUGUCCGGCAGAGCUGGGACUGAGAUCCGGCCCAGACUCCUACGGGAGGCAGUAGUGGGGAAGAUUGCACAAUGGGCGCAAGCCUGAUGCAGCGACGCCGCGUGAGGGAUGACGGCCUUCGGGUUGUAAACCUCUUUCGGUAGAGACGAAGCGGAAGUGACGGUACCUAUAGAAGAAGGACCGGCCAACUACGUGCCAGCAGCCGCCGUAAUAC
rnacentral:rRNA from 1 species